rnacentral:misc_RNA from 1 species
CGAAAUGCGAUAAUUAAUGUGAAUUGCAGAAUUCAGUGAAUCAUCGAGUCUUUGAACGCGCAUUGCGCCCCCUGGUAUUCCGGGGGGCAUGCCUGUCCGAGCGUCAUUGCUGCCCUCAAGCACGGCUUGUGUGUUGGGCUUCCGUCCCUGGCAACGGGGACGGGCCCAAAAGGCAGUGGCGGCACCAUGUCUGGUCCUCGAGCGUAUGGGGCUUUGUCACCCGCUCCCGUAGGUCCAGCUGGCAGCUAGCCUCGCAACCAAUCUUUUUAACCAGGUUGACCUCGGAUCAGGUAGGGAUACCCGCUGAACUUAAGC